rnacentral:rRNA from 1 species
UGGGGAAUAUUGGACAAUGGAGGCAACUCUGAUCCAGCAAUUCUGUGUGUGUGAAGAAGGUUUUAGGACUGUAAAACACUUUUAGUAGGGAAGAAAGAAAUGACGGUACCUACAGAAGAAGCGACGGCUAAAUACGUGCCAGCAGCCGCGGUAAUACGUAUGUCGCGAGCGUUAUCCGGAAUUAUUGGGCUUAAAGGGCAUCUAGGCGGUUAAACAAGUUGAAGGUGAAAACCUGUGGCUCAACCAUAGGCUUGCCUACAAAACUGUAUAACUAGAGUACUGGAAAGGUGGGUGGAACUACACGAGUAGAGGCGAAAUUCGUAGAUAUGUGUAGGAAUGCCGAUGAUGAAGAUAACUCACUGGACAGCAACUGACGCUGAAGUGCGAAAGCUAGGGGAGCAAACAGG